CCUACGGGAGGCAGCAGUAAGGAAUAUUGGACAAUGCUCGCAAGAGUGAUCCAGCCAUGCCGCGUGCAGGAAGAAUGCCCUAUGGGUAGUAAACUGCUUUUGAACUAGAGAAAACCCUAGUACGUGUACUGGGCUGAUAGUAUAGUUAGAAUAAGCAUCGGCUAACUUCGUGCCAGCAGCCGCGGUAAGACGAAGGAUGCAAGCGUUAUCCGGGAUUCAUUGGGUUUAAAGGGAGCGUAGGUGGACUGAUAAGUCAGUGGUGAAAUCUCCGAGCUUAACUCGGAAAUUGCCAUUGAUACUGUUGGUCUUGAGUACAGUUGCUGUGGGCGGAAUAUGACAUGUAGUGGUGAAAUCAUAGAGAUGUCAUAGAACACCGAUUGCGAAGGCAGCUCACAAAGCUGUAACUGACACUGAGGCUCGAAAGUGCGGGGAUCAAACAGGAUUAGAUACCCUGGUAGUCCGCACCGUUAAACGAUGAUACUCNCNNGUAGGGCGACUUAGUG
rnacentral:rRNA from 1 species